GGCCGAGUGGCGGAAUGGCAGACGCACCGGACUUAAAAUCCGGUGGGGAGAAAUCCCCGUGCGGGUUCGAGUCCCGCCUCGGCCA
rnacentral:tRNA from 1 species